UAAACUGGGAUUAGAUACCCCACUAUGCCUAGCCGUAAACAUUGAUAGAAUUUUACACCCUCUAUCCGCCUGGGUAUUACGAGCAUUAGCUUGAAACCCAAAGGACUUGGCGGUACUUUAGAUCCCCCUAGAGGAGCCUGUUCUAUAACCGAUGACCCCCGUUCAACCUCACCCUCCCUUGUUUCUCCCGCCUAUAUACCGCCGUCGUCAGCUUACCCUGUGAAGGUCUAAUAGUAAGCAAAAUUGGCACCGCCCAGAACGUCAGGUCGAGGUGUAGCGCAUGAGAGGGGAAGAAAUGGGCUACAUUCGCUAAUAUAGCGAAUACGAACGAUGCACUGAAAACGUCCAUCUGAAGGAGGAUUUAGCAGUAAGUGGAAAAUAGAGUGUUCCA
rnacentral:rRNA from 1 species